AACCUGUAGAGAAAAGGACGGUGGUCACAGUGGUGUAAAAAUUACAUCGAACGGGAACUGGAAAGGGCCUCAUCAGAGGCAAAAACUGAAGAAAUCUACGACGGCAUCGCUGGACUUCGGCAGUGUUUUUCGACCAAUUGGCCUGUGGUUUGGCUCCGAUUUGGAAUUAGGGAGGUUCAACAUCGAAAAAUGAGCCAAGGAGAGAAAUUUUACCUCGUUUGGC
rnacentral:lncRNA from 1 species